rnacentral:rRNA from 1 species
UACGGAGGGGGCAAGCGUUGUUCGGAAUCAUUGGGCGUAAAGGGCGCGUAGGCGGCCUGUCAAGUCGGAUGUGAAAUCCCUCGGCUCAACCGAGGAACCGCACUCGAUACUGGCGGGCUAGAGUCCGGGAGGGGAUGGUGGAAUUCCCAGUGUAGCGGUGAAAUGCGUAGAUAUUGGGAAGAACACCGGUGGCGAAGGCGGCCAUCUGGACCGGAACUGACGCUGAGGCGCGAAAGCUAGGGGAGCGAAUGGG